rnacentral:lncRNA from 1 species
GAGAAUAAGGAUUUCUGCAUGAGCUAUAAAUUAGAAGAGUUGCCCGCUCUUUCGAAAGAUUAGCAUUGUUCCAAAUUGAUGCUGAGCUCCCGACAUUAAAAGAAGCACUACAUGGAAGGCAAUCCACGACCUUUAAUCUUUAUCUUUUCUUUUUAGUUGUUUUCAUUUUCAUUUUAUUUUUUUAUUCUAUGUUUGUUAUUAUUAGUAUUA